CACCCUCACGUUCUCUCUCUAAAACUUGGUUGAGGUUGGUAGAGAGUAGUGGCAGCAGGGGUGAAGUGCAAUUUUGUAGUUUUGGAGGGUUAAAGUGAUAAUUGUCCAUCCUUAUCACUUAGCCCAGGCGGAUUGAUGCUCGGAGAAGUAGCUGCGGCUUGGUGAAGUUGGGCGCCCAGAUUGAAGGGGUGGAGAGAGCCUUGACUUAAAAAGCUGUGAAGGAAGCUUUUGGAGCUAGGAAGAAAACUGUGGGAGAAGCCUCGAAUUGAGGAAAACUUAGGCAUGUUGCUAUGUUGAUGCUUUAAUUAAGGAAGUUUGGAGCUGCUAUGUUGGUGCCUUAAUUAAAUAUUGCUGAAGUUGCUGCUUUGAGGUAAGGUAAUUGCUCAAGUUCUGAUUAUGGAUCAAUUACUUACUUUAUAAAGAGGCUAAUUUGAAGGAAUAUGGCUAUUGAGCUAAUUAAACCCCCAAAAUAAGUUUGAUAAUUAUGAACUAUGUAUUAGUGGAAGUGCAAUUAGGAAUAAGUUGAUUUUCCCCUGUUUAAGAUUAUCAAGAUUGCUCCACUAGCAGUAUGAGCAAUAGAAUUGCUAAUAGAAUAUAAAUAAUGAAGAUAAUGGUUCUAUGUUGAUAAUUAAAGUUAAGGUUAAAUUGAAG